rnacentral:rRNA from 1 species
GUCUGCAACCCGACUACAUGAAGCUGGAAUCGCUAGUAAUCGCGGAUCAGAAUGCCGCGGUGAAUACGUUCCCGGGUCUUGUACACACCGCCCGUCACACCAUGGGAGUCGGAAAUGCCCGAAGUCUGUGACCUAACCGUAAGGAAGGAGCAGCCGAAGGCAGGUCGGAUGACUGGGGUGAAGUCGUAACAAGGUAAC